AGCACUGUGCCAGACUAAUUGGACUGCUUUGAUGUGGUAGAAGAUGGGCUUAUAACCUCGGUGCUU
rnacentral:tRNA from 1 species